AGUGAACGCUGGCGGUAGGCCUAACACAUGCAAGUCGAACGGCAGCACAGGAGAGCUUGCUCUCUGGGUGGCGAGUGGCGGACGGGUGAGGAAUACAUCGGAAUCUACUUUUUCGUGGGGGAUAACGUAGGGAAACUUACGCUAAUACCGCAUACGACCUACGGGUGAAAGCAGGGGAUCUUCGGACCUUGCGCGAUUGAAUGAGCCGAUGUCGGAUUAGCUAGUUGGCGGGGUAAAGGCCCCCCAAGGCGACGAUCCGUAGCUGGUCUGAGGGGAUGAUCAGCCACACUGGAACUGGGACACGGUCCAGACGCCUACGGGAGGCAGCAGUGGGGAAUAUUGUACAAUGGGCGCAAGCCUGAUCCAGCCAUACCGCGUGGGUGAAGAAGGCCUUCGGGUUGUAAAGCCCUUUUGUUGGGAAAGAAAUCCAGCUGGUUAAUACCCGGUUGGGAUGACGGUACCCAAAGAAUAAGCACCGGCUAACUUCGUGCCAGCCGCCGCGGUAA
rnacentral:rRNA from 1 species